GAGCUUGCUCCUUUGACGUUAGCGGCGGACGGGUGAGUAACACGUGGGUAACCUACCUAUAAGACUGGGAUAACUUCGGGAAACCGGAGCUAAUACCGGAUAAUAUUUCGAACCGCAUGGUUCGAUAGUGAAAGAUGGUUUUGCUAUCACUUAUAGAUGGACCCGCGCCGUAUUAGCUAGUUGGUAAGGUAACGGCUUACCAAGGCGACGAUACGUAGCCGACCUGAGAGGGUGAUCGGCCACACUGGAACUGAGACACGGUCCAGACUCCUACGGGAGGCAGCAGUAGGGAAUCUUCCGCAAUGGGCGAAAGCCUGACGGAGCAACGCCGCGUGAGUGAUGAAGGUCUUCGGAUCGUAAAACUCUGUUAUUAGGGAAGAACAUACGUGUAAGUAACUGUGCACGUCUUGACGGUACCUAAUCAGAAAGCCACGGCUAACUACGUGCCAGCAGCCGCGGUAAUACGUAGGUGGCAAGCGUUAUCCGGAAUUAUUGGGCGUAAAGCGCGCGUAGGCGGUUUUUUAAGUCUGAUGUGAAAGCCCACGGCUCAACCGUGGAGGGUCAUUGGAAACUGGAAAACUUGAGUGCAGAAGAGGAAAGUGGAAUUCCAUGUGUAGCGGUGAAAUGCGCAGAGAUAUGGAGGAACACCAGUGGCGAAGGCGACUUUCUGGUCUGUAACUGACGCUGAUGUGCGAAAGCGUGGGGAUCAAACAGGAUUAGAUACCCUGGUAGUCCACGCCGUAAACGAUGAGUGCUAAGUGUUAGGGGGUUUCCGCCCCUUAGUGCUGCAGCUAACGCAUUAAGCACUCCGCCUGGGGAGUACGACCGCAAGGUUGAAACUCAAAGGAAUUGACGGGG
rnacentral:rRNA from 1 species